rnacentral:rRNA from 1 species
GCAGCCGCCGCGGUAAAACGUAGGGUGCAAGCGUUAAUCGGAAUUACUGGGCGUAAAGCGUGCGCAGGCGGUUAUAUAAGACAGAUGUGAAAUCCCCGGGCUCAACCUGGGAACUGCAUUUGUGACUGUAUAGCUAGAGUACGGCAGAGGGGGAUGGAAUUCCGCGUGUAGCAGUGAAAUGCGUAGAUAUGCGGAGGAACACCGAUGGCGAAGGCAAUCCCCUGGGCCUGUACUGACGCUCAUGCACGAAAGCGUGGGGAGCAAACAGGAUUAGAUACCCCCGUAGUCCCUGUCUCUUAUAC